GUCCAGAGGGCAGAGCACUGCGCUUCUACACCGGUGGUGCCCGGUUCAAGUCCUAU
rnacentral:tRNA from 16 species